AGGACGAACGCUGGCGGCGUGCUUAACACAUGCAAGUCGAACGGUGACCCUGGUGCUUGCACCAGGUGAUCAGUGGCGAACGGGUGAGUAACACGUGAGUAACCUGCCCCCGACUCGUGGGAUAACCCCGGGAAAUCGGAGCUAAUACCGGAUACGAGACGCACAGGCAUCUGUCGCGUCUGGAAAGAAAUUCGGUCGGGGAUGGACUCGCGGCCUAUCAGCUAGUUGGUGAGGUAACGGCCCACCGAAGGCGACGACGGGU
rnacentral:rRNA from 1 species